GGACCUUUAGCUCAAUCGGUAGAGCGUUGUACUUAUGAGGUUAACCUACUUGCAUGCAAAUGUCCCGAGUUCGAUUCUCGGAAGGUCCA
rnacentral:tRNA from 1 species